rnacentral:tRNA from 1 species
UGCUGGAUAGCUCAGUUGGUAGAGCAUGAGACUCUUAAUCUCAGGGUCAUGGGUGUGAGCCCCACGCAGGGCAA